CGACACAUAAAGAAGAGUCUCUGUGUACAGACUUGGUCUUCUGUCCUGCCAGAGAUCCUUCUGCCCCUGUGCCCUUGUGAGGCAUCAGGUCUUUGGGAUAAGACUAGAGAAGAAGAAAGAAGAAGGAAUAUGAAGGUGGAUGAAUUCAUGAACUUUGAUCCUUACACAGAUGUCAUUUGAAGCCUCCUACAGAAAAUAUUACUUCUCCAAGCUUAAACCCUGCAGGGCCAUGAAAGUGUUACAUUUGGUCUCCAGGGCACUGCUGAACAAUUACUGCUGCUCAACUUAUUUCUCAUCUGUGC